GUAGAAUUUAGAAAUUAGUUUCUUUGUUUUUCUUAAUUUUGCAUGUGUCCUUUCAAGCAGAAAGAAUGCUGGUACAGAUUGAAAGUGUUCACAGUUUUUCUUCCUGUGUGCUUGCCAAAGGUGCAAAGAAAACAGAUUUUUAAAAGUUGUGUGCAAGCUAUACCAGUGCAAUCAAUAGGGGUCUGGAAAGGUUUUCUGAAGUGCAACUUUUACAAACUCUGCUAGAACUUGGAGCUUGUUACACUUUACAAGUUCCCUGUAAAGUGUUUCAUAUAGCAAUCCAGUUAAUACAUCAACUUCUGACAAAAAACUUUUUGUAAGCUGGGAAAAGAGGUGGGAGGGGGUUAGUCUCAUUCAGUUGUAGUUUUAAGCUGCAGUUGAUUCUAAAAUAGAAUUAUAAUAUACCAAGCUGUACAUUGAUAAAGUUUUUGUGUGCUAUAUCAGCUUCCCAUAGUUAUGCUUUUUUUAGCUAACAGGCUAUAAAAAUUGACAUACUGUACUUGUUCAAGUCAGAACUGACUACCUUUAAUUUCUUGCCUUUCACAGAAAUCCAUUGCAUUCUGUUUGCUAUUCAUCACUCCACUAGAAGCAUCAAUAUUGCAGACCCAAGUAACAGUUUUAACUUUGGUUUGUCUUCCUGAGUGCAAUUGGUGGGGAGUUGGGGUGCACCUCAUACAAAUUAAUACAUGAGUCAAGCUAGUAUAAACAGUAGUUGGAGUCUUAGAUUAAGUAAAAAGGGUGUAAAACAGAAUUUGAUGCUGGGAGUCCUUAACUGCACUUCUAAAUUUCCAGGUAUUUUUAUACUUCUGAAUUUCUCAAUGGUUUUACUUCCUGGUUUUUAUUUUUAGCUGCCUUUGUUAUUUCAUGUUUAUCUUAUGCAGUAGUUCUCCAGCUAGUCUAAAUCUGUUUGCUCAUGAUCCUUGGAGAGAUGGCUGGACACAUGAUAUAGAUUCUCCAAAUUUAGUAGCAGUAAAUUUCAGUGAUCAGCAGUCAUCUGCUUUACUUUAGUUAUUAAUACUUCACAUUGAAAAAAAAUGUAGUUCUCUCAGUCUUUUGCCAUAGUUAUAUGGGGAGUAUUGUUAAUAUAAUCACGAAAUAGUUAACACACUUUUUUCUAAAUGUCAAAGUUUGUGCUACCUAAACUCUAAAUUAGUGCUAGUUAUUCUGUUCAAAUAUUCAUCUUUUUGUUCAGAGAAUUAUUUAAAGCAUUAAUUCUGAUUUUUUUUUUUCACACAUCUUUAUCAUCAUCUUAGAAAUAUACAGCUGCUUGCUAGAAAGUAUGGGAGGACCUAUUAUACAUGGACUGUGUGUAUAAGCUUGGUCCUGGAUUACUGCACCUCUUUGAGGUGAAGUGAGGAAAAUUUAUUUCUGUGUUAGAGUUAUUUCAUUGAAAAGAAAAACACAUGCAACAAAAUUGCUAGUUUAGAUUUUUUUAAAAAAUUUAUUUAGUUUUAUUUUUUUCUCUUUAGAGCUGCAGUCUUAAACAGCAAUUAAAAAAUCUUGCUGCUACUUCAGGAGAAGAGCAAUCAAGGUAUAUAGUUUAUUCUCUUAAUUCUUCUUUCUCUGACCAGAAAGUAGCCUCAAUUAAAUUGAGUGAAUUAACAGAGUAUUGUAGGUUAUGCCUGAACCAAAUAAUAAUGGAAUAGUAGCUGAAAGUUCACUGAUACCUUUAAAGUUAAUGUUCUGAAAUAUUUCAGUACAAUUCUUUUUUCUUUUAAAAAUUACAUGCAUAUCAUUUUAAAGGCUGCUGACCCCACAAAUUAGAAGGAAAGACAGUUUGUUAACAAAGAAACAAGAAGGCAGGAGUAAAUAUACUUCUAAAUCUUAGAUUUAAGAAUGAACAAGAGUUAUAAAUUUUAGUAUGUUUGCAGUAUAAAUACUGCAGUGUUGAGUAAGCAUAUGACAAAAAUAAAAUGAAACUAUUGUUUUGGCUUGGAGAGAGGGGUGUAAACAGUGUAUGAGCAAGAUACAGCUACAUACACUUUUAGAUCUGAGAAUCUUAGAGAAUGGAAAUGUUCAGAUUUCUUGGUAGUGAACAGUGAGAUUAUCUUUUUCCCAGAUUAAUUAAAUAAAACCUUAAAAGUAUUUUCCAAUGUUGAACUGCCAUCGUUUAACUGCCAUCAUGUUUAUUCAUAUUUAGUGAUGUGUUAGUGACACUGAACUGAGAGAGGAGAACUUGGCAAAUCCACCAGCAGUUGUCCAAAAAGCUACACUGCAAAAUGUCCUGUCUAACAUAGAAGUAACUUACUCCAUUAGUGGAAUGCAUAGAGCAGGACACACUUGUCAAAGAUGCCUCACUUCAUGCUGUGCCAUUUCAGUGCAAACCCUGUCUAAUUUCUGGUUAAACUAAGCUAACCUGGCAAAACUGAGAUAUGGACAUUUGUAAUUGCUGAUGUCAGGGCUGUGGAGGAGAGUAGCACUGGUGGACAAAUGUAAUCCUUUUACACUGUGGAGCAUUUAAGCCUUUCAGGUUCACAUUCAGUUUUCUAAUUUUAAUCUGAAAUAAGGUUGGGAAUGGGUCAAAAUUAACAGUGAAGGAAUAGCCUUGCUUUCAUAUUGGAUGUGUGCUUUGUAUAAAUGAGUAAGGAACUAAAGCAAUGGAAUAUGGUUGUGAGCAAUGGUGUAUAACUAUAGAUGAGGAAUAGCUUCUGGCCAAGAAGGGAAUGCUUUGCUUGUAUGACCAAAAGGCACAAAGUAAAUAUUUAAUUUUAGAUCAUGUUCUUGGGCAUUAAAGGCAACAUACAGUGUUUAAUACCAAAUCCUUGGUAUCUUUUACUCCAAGUCACUGACCUGUCAGUCAGAUUGCAGGCCUAGUGGUACCUUCUGGAUGUAAUAUGUUACACAGAGGUUUAAGGAGCUUAUUAGUAGUUACAGUAGCAUUUAAGGAGCUUAUUAGUGUGUUUAGUAGCCAGAAUUGACUUGUAGCUUGUUUUCAUAAGGUCGGAAAGAUUGAGUUUGGCUUGGUGUUGUCAUAAACUCUGAACUGUAAACAAUAAAAACAAAAACUAUAUUUUAUAUUGGACUUGGUCUUUGAUAAAUCAACUAAGAAAUACUGAAAUUAAGGAAAGGCUCCUUCCUUGCUUGGGAACACUCUAAUUGCUAAAACAAGUGCAAAUAUAUAUACACACACUUCUCUCUUUUUUCCUUUCUUUUUUUUAACAGUUCCAGUACAUUUUUUUCAAAGAGCAUUCCUGACUUGUGUAUGUGAGUUGCUUCUGUGGAAUUUCAGUUUUGCAUCUUCAUAAUCCUUCUUAGUCAGCAGAGCUCUUAAUUUUAGGGACUUGGGAAAUGUAAUGGAACUGCUUGCAUAUGUGAUUUCUAGCUUUUAUUGAGGUCUCCUUUGUCUGUCAGUCUCUCAGCCACAGACUUAAGACACAAAGAUGGAGGUAGGAUAAGUACUCUUGGUAACAACUAUAUUGACUUUAUGACCAAAGCAUAAUGGUAUACAGCUUUGUGCAGACAUUCCUGGACUUCAGUAGAUUCCUGGCUCAGAUAUCAGUGCACUUGUUAUCUUAGACUUUUUCUCAUUCUUUUCCUGUUCCACAGCCCCUUCUUCUCACAUAGACUGCCUUCAAUUUUAUGUGAUAAUUUGCUUAUUCUCCUUGCAGAUUAUGUCUAUUUUAAUAGCAAUGUAAAAAGCAUACAGUCACAUUGUAUUGAAUUUUGAGUUGGUUGGUUUCUUUUGGGAUGUUUUGUGGUAAAGUUAAAAGGAAAAAAAAAACAACGACAAAACACCUUCCAAAAUAAUUUUUAAAAAAUAGAAAAACUUAAACAGUCUGUAAUCCUGUAAUUCAUGCAAGGUUUUGUGUUCAUGUUUUGUAUGGGUGGGUGGAAUUACCUGCAAGUUUUCUUACUAAUGUACUUUCUGUAGAAAUUAGCAUAAUAGUUCUGCCAAGUCUUCAUUUCAUGGUGUGUAUAGUUUAAUUUUAAAGGGAUUUAGUUAUGCAACAGGAAAAAAACUCUACAUACUUAAGCUAGAAGCUGAAAUCAACCAGGCAAUUGAAAGAAUAGUAUCUGUUAAAACACAUGGAGUUUUAAAUUAAGAAUUUGGCCUGAAUGUAAAAACUGAGAAAUCCAAAGGUAUUAAAUAUUACAGCUGUCUUAUUUAAGUCAUUUUCUUUCAGUCUUUUAAGGUAAAUAUACACAUACAAAACAAUAUUUUUUCUUGCUAGAGGACAUUUUUCAUGCUCUUUUUCCAGAAAAGUUGAGUAAAUCUUUUACUGCUGGCUGGAAUUUUUGCUUACAUCUAUCUUUAUCUAUGCCUUCCACAUUACACAUAUAUGUGUGUGCAUGUGUGUGUGUAUACACACAUAUAUAUGGUGGAGAUUUUGUCUUUACUUUUUCUUCUCUUGGUUUAUGCCUAGCACAGUUUCUGCAGGGGGGAGACCAGCUGUCAGAGCAUACGUUUACAGUAUAGGUUUAUUUUGACUUUGCACUCCUGCUUUAAUUCACCAUGGUAAGUUGGGUAAGUUGUGCCUAUUUAAUUUAGUUUGCCUAUUUUAGCUGUCUGAUUUAAAAAACAAACAUAGGUUGUAAGAGGUGGGGUGGGGAUAAGUGUAAAUAGAGCUGUGCGUGUAUAAAAUGUACUGGAAAUGGCUCUUUGAUUCCAGUUCCUAAAGUUAGCAUUCCUAUCUGGAUAAACCAUAUAAAAAGUGUUGCUGCCGUCACCUGUAAAUGUACAUUGGCAAUCUCACUUUAAUUGGCACAUUUGUGGAAAUGGACUCUUCUAACAGAUAUUGCCCAGGUGUAGUAGGAAGGGAGAAAAGAAAAUUCCCAAAAAUUUCUCAAAUCUUUCCCCGACAUGGCCUGUCAAAUCUAUUUUUGUGCUUCCAGAUAGCCCUGUUAAUUUCCAGAUGUUGUCUGUCAUUACCUGACUAGAAGGCUUAUUGCAAUGGAGUGGCAUGCUUGGGUCUAUGCUGUGUAAGUAGCUUUUGUCUUAACAGUUUAGUAUUAAAACAUUAAAGAAAGCAUAGUUCAUGUUAUCUAGGGAACCAGUAAAAGGACUGCACACAUUUAAAUCUCUGACAUUCUUUAGCCUAAGAAAAUGAUAUCUAGCUGGACCACAACUCCACAUCUCUUGCCUACAUCUAGUAAAGCAGCAUGGUCAAUUCUAGGCUGGGGCAGAUGAACUCCUGCUCGUAAUAACAGAUAAGUUACUAGUCUUGCUAACAAUUGCUUUGGGUUAUAAUUUUUUUUUCCUCUGAAAUUAAGGCUCUUUUGAGUAUGUCUGCCCAAAAGUUGCAGUAAGGGUAAGCUGCAGAGCUAACAGAUGGCUUGAGGACUCAUAGAAUAGUUCACAGAAGCUUAUUUUGAAAUUAGGUCUUAUUCUCUUACAUAUGAAAGUUGUUGGGGUUUUCUUUUCACAUCUGAGUUUCCAGAUGACAAAAAGUCAGACUAGGAAAUAACCCAGAUUUUUUACUUUCUUUUGAAAUAAACAUCUGCAUAAUCUUUAGUUUUUCUAACUAGACACAGUUUUCCAGUUUGUGGUUCAUAUCUCAUUAAGGUAUUAUGCUCAGGUGACAAUAAAAUCGAGAGCUUCACUGUAAAUAAACAUUUACAGUAUAAAUGUAAAUAAACUAGCUUGGGUUUUCUAAACAUUUUGUAGUUUGUUAAUACAACUGAUGUUACUACAUGAAAGCUAAAGUUCGAUAAGAAAAUUCUGCAUUCAUCUCAGAGUAUGUUUCUGUUUCCUUGAAGCAUGGUAGACACCUUGGCAUAACGUAGCAGCACAUAAUGGUUUGUGGGUUUUGAAAAGGUGCAGGCCAUAUUGUGCUGCCUCAAAAAUACAAGGAUUUCAUCACCCUGAAGAGAAAUACCACUUAUGUAUUAGUCAAUCUUGUGAUGCUGAUGUCUGUCAUACUUUAGCAGCACGUAAAUAUUGGUGUUAAGACUGUAAAUAUCUCCAGUAUUAACUGUGCUGCUGAAGUAAGGCUAGCCACUUCUGCACGCGAGUCGUGGGACAGGACAUUGCAUGUAUUCCCUUAUGCCUUUUUGUUGCUAAAAUUUUAUAUAUUGUUUGUAUAUGAACACUUUCUUUGUUUUUUUCAUUUUCAUUUAUUCAGAAACUAUAUUUAAAGCUUCAUAGUAUCUGAUGGUAAAUAGACUAGGCAUAUAUGUACAAUUUUGCUUUGGUUUAUGUGAAAACUGAACUUUCUAAAGGAGCCGUCUCAAGCUACACCUAUCUAACAAUACUUUGGUAAGUGUGUUUGUUUAUAUAUUUAAAAACUAUAAAAAUUAUGUUACUUUAAUUGCCAACACAUUUCUUUAUUAAAACUCUUAAAACUGUGCUCAUUUUUACAAUCUUUUCUAAAUUAGUGGAACUUGGAAAUAUUUGAUCACGCUUUUAACAAAGAGCUCAUAAAGAAAAAGUGUCUUUCAAUUUUUUUUAACAAAACUUAUUAACCACUUCAUUUCUUAAACCACUGGGCUAUAGACAGGUAGCAGUUUUAUGGUUAGAAGUUUAGACUGUAUAUCUGACUGUGAAUUUACUAAUUUUUUUCCUCAUCUUCCACUAAGAUUUUUCUCUUGCAGGAGAAUCUUUCAUUGAGAUGAUUGAAAUUGCUGCAGUGAGAAUGGAAAUUACUUUGGCUCCUUUCCUUUAAAAGCUGCAUGCGAGAACUGUGUGGGUCUGCCUGUGGUGCUGGGCUGGGGAGGAUGUCGGUGGCUUGUGCAAGCAAGAAGCCUGAUACUGCUAUAGGUGCUGCAGAAAUUAGUAAAAAAUUCUCUAGGCAAUGGAACAAAUGGCUGUAAGUAGAGAAAACAAUGUCUUCGUGGUUAUGUCAAGUGAGAAUUCCUAAGAACUGGAUGUGAUGUUGAUUUUUCUGCCUGUAUUCUUGCAUGCUGCUGGGCAAGUAACCAGGCCAUUGUUUCUGUAGCACGUACAUUGCGCUUUGCUUUAGAGGUGUCUUGAUUUAAAACUCGUGUCUAAAAGAAACACUGGUGGUUCACAUUGGUAGCUGAGCUUCUUAGGAGUUGUCAUUUGAAUUAAAAUACUCUGUGAAGUUAUGUCUGUUGACAGUCUCCUAUCUUCUUAAAGAAGACUUCAAACUGUAGCAUACUAUGAUAGUUCCUCCACGUUCAUGUCACAUUUAAAGUAGGGGUAAAUGGACACAGCCCUUGAAGGGCUGUUAGCUGCUUUUGUUUAGUAGCUGUACUACAGUAAUGCAUUGCCUCAUGGAAUUUUCUAUGGCAUUUAUUAAUUCUGAUUUCAGAGGAAGAGGUGAGUACUGUUCAUCUUUUAAAGAUCAGAUCUGCAAUAAACUUUCCUUGUUACCAGCUCAGGCUGGGAAGCAGAGUUUCUGUGCUGUUUAUUCAUGGCCUAUUUCUGCAGUCCUGUGAACUCCAAAAUACUCUGAUUUGUGUCCUGUCUUGUCACUGAUUCAUUUUGCAAAUAUAACUCAUUAUUACACCUGUGUGUGCCAUUUUUUUGUCAUUUUUAUAGGCAACAUCGUCAGCAUUGUGCAAAAUCUUCUAUGUAGUAAAGGUAAUGUACAUGUUUGAACUUUAGCAUAUUUGACAAUAAAUUUACCUGUGAAGAUCUAUUUUGCAGAAAGAAUGAGCUAUUUAAAUUGUAACAAUUUCUUAAUGUACAGUGGUAAGCACUGCAUCUCUAAAAAUGUAAAGUAACUUAUACCUAAGUAUUUAGGACUUUUACUACCAUUUUCUUCAAAUUUCAAAGGCAGUUUUCUUGGUACUGCCUACAGCAAAUUGCUAAAUGAGUGUGGUCUGUACUAGAAAUUUGGAUACAGUGAUCUGAAAAUGUUUCAGCUUUUCCCUUAGUCAUGAUAUCUUAAGUAUAGGGGAAAGUCUCUUCUAAUCAGGUAGUCACAUUAGCAGUAAUGGUUGGAUUUGAAGUGUUUAGACUACCUUUAUCUUCAUCACAACCUAUUGUCACAGAAGUCACAAGAAGUGCUAGAAAUAUACCCAAAGUGGUGAGCUGCUAUUGUACCAGUUUAACAGCAGCAGCAAUUCUUCAUAUAAAAAACAAACAAAACAUUUUAAAUGUAUUUGAAGGAAAACUUCUGAGAUGUAUGCAAAUCUCCUUUCUAAGGUGGCAGUUGUAAUUGUAUCGCAAUAAAAUAUUUAACUACUAAAAGAAAUAAAAAAAAAAAGAUGGAAAAAUGCAA